AUCCAGCUGACGAGCCCCGAAUAGGAUGAAACGUGUGUACUGGAU
rfam:Schistosoma margrebowiei strain Zambia genome assembly, scaffold: SMRZ_scaffold0000111